CAGCAUAAGUAAUUGAGUUCAUCACACAUGCUCACUUACAGCUGAAUUUCAGGUUGUAUAGUAGCAGAGUGUAUCAUCUCCUCAACGUGACUAAGGAGUGACCUCAUCCCAGCUGAUUACGGCAUUGCGGGUCAUCCUAAAUUUCUUGCGAUCAUCAAGGCAACGUGGGAAGCUUACGUUGGAAGCUGUAGUGCAUCAAUAUACGUGAGUGAUUGAAUAGAACUCAUUUCUGUUAUAGCAUUUUUAUAUUAUAAUGGCUGGUAGGAAAGGUAAUACAGACCAAUCCUAUACACCUCUCGGUACCAAGGCUCCGACUUGGAGUUCGCCUCAGGCAACAAGAAGACGUAAUAUUGAUAACUUCUUUAAUCCUAUUGAGCAAGGUGAUAAGUCGCUGCGUCUGUCCGAUAGCCGUCCACCCCAAAAAUCGAAAGCCCAGUUAGAUGUGGAGGCAGCGGCCACGGAGGCAAGGGAAAGUCAGCGUUUAAAAUAUAAGGCACAGGCAGGAGCGUCAUUCUUCAGUUCGGUUGAAGGAGGGGGUAACUCAUUACACUUGACAUCGGGUCGUGUUUGUGGUCAAAAUAAUCCAGCCGACAGGUCACCAGAAAGUCCUUCCAAACCAGUAGAGGAACAGCCAGUAGAAACGGAACAAACAGAAGAUAAAAAUCAAGAUGCGAGGAAAGAAUCUUUGACUUUACCAUUAGAAGGUCAAACCAGUGAAGAUGAAACGAAAAAACGACCAAAGAAAGAAGGGGGAGAACUUGGAGGUGAUGAAAUGCGAGGGCUAUUGUAUUCCAACGUGUCAGUUGAAGAACCAAGCUCAGAGACAGCCCAAAACAGACUUCUUAUCAAAGGCGGCAGGAUCGUGAAUGCCGAUCGUAUGUUUGAUGCUGACAUCUACAUUGAAGAUGGAAUUAUACGACAAAUUGGGGAAAACCUUAUUACUCCUGGAGGAGCCAAACAGAUUGAUGCCAAAGGCAAGCUCAUCAUUCCAGGCGGAAUUGACACCCACACUCACAUGGAAAUGCCCUUCAUGGGAACCAGGGCGGUUGAUGAUUUCUACCAUGGAACCAAAGCUGCACUGGCUGGUGGCACCACUAUGAUCAUCGACCACUGUCUUCCCCAAAAAAAUCAGUCAUUAUUGGAGGCGUACGAAGACUGGUCAACGAGAGCUGCAGAAAGAGCGUGCUGUGAUUAUUCCUUCCAUGUCGGCAUUACGUGGUGGAGUGAGGAGGUCAAGAAGGAGAUUGAGGUUCUCUGCAAGGAGAAAGGUAUAAACUCUUUUAAGAUGUUUAUGGCAUAUAAGGGACUGUUUAUGUUGAAUGACGAUGAAAUUUAUCAAGCAAUGUGUGCAUUGAAGGAACAGGGAGCCCUUGCAUUAAUGCAUGCUGAGAAUGGUCACCUUAUCAAUGAGUGUUGCAAGAAGAUGCUUGCUUUAGGAAUCACAGGACCGGAAGGUCAUGAACUUUCACGACCCGAAGAGGUUGAGGAAGAGGCGACUACACGCGCAAUUGUCAUCGCCAACCAGGCACAGUGUCCACUUUACAUUGUCCAUGUUAUGAGCAAAAGCGCAGCAAACGCAAUCACUAAAGCCCGUCGGGAAGGCAAAGUUGUAUUUGGCGAGCCGAUCGCAGCUUCUCUAGGUGUUGAUGGUACCCACUACUGGGACAAGGAUUGGUCUCAUGCUGCAGCGUACGUCAUGGGCCCUCCUCUUAGACCAGACACAACCACGCCUGGCUACUUAAUGGAUCUUUUAGCAAAUGGUGAUCUGCAACUCACUGGAACAGAUAAUUGUACAUUCAAUCCAGACCAAAAGGCACUGGGAAGGGAUGAUUUUACCAAGAUUCCUAACGGAGUAAACGGUGCAGAGGACAGGAUGUCAGUCAUAUGGGAGAAGGGUGUGUACACUGGCAAAAUGGAUCCAUGUCGUUUUGUAGCCGUCACCAGUACCAAUGCUGCUAAAAUAUUCAAUUUUUAUCCAAAGAAGGGUGUUAUCCAAAUUGGUUCAGAUGCUGAUCUUGUUAUUUGGGAUCCAAAUGCAACCAGGAAAAUCUCCAAGGACACUCACCAUCAUGCUGUUACUGUUAAUAUUUUUGAAGGCAUGGUGUGCCAUGGAGUACCUCUUGUAACCAUUAGUAAUGGGAGAAUUGUAUGGGAAGAUGAACAGCUUCAUGUUACCCAAGGUGCAGGACGUUUUGUCGCUCGAGGGGUACACGCUGCAGAAGCAUAUGCCAAGAUAUUGAUUCGAGAUAAAGUCAGAGUGCCCCAGGGUGUGGAUCGUGAAGCGUACGAUGGUCCGGUUUGGAACUCAGCCAACGCACCAGCCAAUAACAUUAGCAAGUCUGCACCAAAACCGACAUUUAGUCAAGACCGACCAUCCACACGUCACGGUCACCGUGACUUACACGCCUCAGGUUUCAGUUUAUCAGGUGCCCAAACAGAUGAUAACGUCAGAGAUCGCACCGCAUACAAGGUUAUGGCGCCCCCUGGUGGUCUAUCAAGCAUAACGUUCUAGUAGAAUUCAUAUCUCAGCAUUCCCAACCACUGUCAUAAAUGGGACCCCGUUACUCAGGAAACCAAGUGGAUGAUAACGUGAGAGCAAAGGUUGGACAUAAAGUGCUUGCACCACCAGGCGGUAAAACCAGCAUCAUAUUUUAGAGAAGAAAAUUUUAAUCUAGAAUUUUAAAUAUAACUUGGAUGUUACUUUUUAUGUGCCUGCUAUGUAUAUACUGAAUGGGUGUAUUCAACAGACUGCUUGAUGUGGUAGAGCAAAGGUCAUGUCAGAAGUGAUGUAAGGAAAUGUCAUUCACAAGUUAAUUGUGGCCCUGAACAUGUAUACUUGUUACAUGUUCCUGAACAUGUAUACUCAUUACAUGUUGUAUUGAAAGAUUUAAUACAAAUGAGUGAAUGCAGCUUAUAGAUGACGUCUCAGAGUUUAGAAUUAGUUUUGAUGGAUAAUUUAAUAUGCUACUACUUAUAAAAAAUAUUAACCAAUCAUUGGAAAGUGCUCCUUGCCAGUUUAACCAAUAAUUGAGUGCUCCAAAGGCCAAAGGUCAUCUAAAUUAUAUUCUAUAAAUAGAAUAAGUGCAACAGAUUUUAUGCUAUUGGCCAGCCAUGAUGAUGAGGAUAACAAUCUCGGAAAUGAUUGGCUAUGUUGAAGCCUCUUGUUACCAAGGUGAACAUAUUUAUAUUAGAAAUGAUUGGGGUUUUUUUUUUAAAACCAAGUUGGGCAUAUUAAAUUGGUAAAAAUAUUCAUUUGUUUAAAGAAAUCAAGAAAUAGUUCUGUUACAUUUUUAGAUAUUCAAAAUUUAAAUUACUUGAAUUUAAAUCAUGUGCUGCCAUAAUAGGAGUCUUCCUGGCAAUUAAUCCCAUAAUCCUUUUGAUCUGUUCCCUUGGUUUGUAUAGUAUUUGUAAUGAUUUACCAUUUAGCAGAUCAAAUUUUAAAUCAAUUGAUUUUAAUUAUCUUGGUGCCAUAACCUUUUAAUCAUUUCAAUCCCGCUUAAUUUGUAUAGUAUUUGUAUUGAAUUCCCUUUUCCCAUAAUAUAUUGGUGUAAAAUUUCCUAGUGGCAUGAUUGUAUCCAUUCCUGUGCACUUGUAUUUAGAGCAGUUAACCUGCAGGACGUGUCAUCUGUAUAACAUGGUAUAUAGUAGUAUAUCUUGAUUUAAAUGGACAAGUUAUUGCUUUUGACUGUUAUAAUUUCAGUGUUUGCUCUAAAUAAUUACAAUUCUUUUAACAUCAGAUAAAACCUUCAGUCUUGUUCAACAGAGAAUAAUUACUAUGGAAAUUACCAAAAACAUGUGUGGUUGUAAGCUUAAGGGAAGGUGCAUAUUAUUUAAUGUAAUUGAUAAAGGAACACAAAUACAGCACACAUUUCUGUGUGGAAUAUAUCUAUUAAACGCACAAUGUUUAGAUUACAGUAGUAUACAGACUAAUCAAUUUAUGCUCAGAAAUCAAAAUUAAUUCUGGUCUGAAUUAAAAAAUCACUUCACUUUGUGUACUUGACCAAAUAAUAGCAGUGAGAUUUAACUUUUGCAUUUUUACAAUCUGUGCAAUUAAGCCUUUGUGUACCAAUGAUAUAUGAAGUAACAUUUUUCUGGAAUAUCAGUUUGUAAAUUUUACAUGAAAGUACAGUAACAGUACAUUUGUCUCGAUUUCAGUACUUAAAUUUGUCAAUUGAAAAAAAAAACACAUUUAUUUAAAAGUUUAUCAGCGAAUGGUUUAUUUCUUUGCAUGCUGCAAAGGAUUUGGGGAAUUAUUAUUAUUAAGUUGCAAUUUCGAUAUUUGGAUCACCGGUAAUAGAAUACCGCUGAUCAAGGUAUUAUUUCUUCCAUAAUUUUUUUUUUUACAUUUGGUGUUUUUAAACAGACUAUGUUUAGACAUGUUAUAUUCUUGUGUAAGAUUUUCAAUGUAGGUAUAUUGUAUUGUGUAUACUAUUACUGAUCAUGUGACUUGCAUAUUGGAAUUAUCAUAAUGAUAAUUAUUAGAUUGAUCAUUCGCAUACAGCAUACAGUGUCAAUAAAUGAAAUAAUGUUGUUGUUCA